UACACGUGGAAGAAUCUUAGGUUUAUAGCUUAACAUAUGAAAAGGGUCUCAGUUUACAGUCUUAGGAAUUACAUGAAAAGGGUUUCAGUUUACAGUCUUAGGGAUUACAUAUGAAAAGGGCUUCGGUUUACAGUCUUAGGAUUUACAUAUGAAAAGU